AAACCGCACCCGACUAUUCGCGCGCGGCAGGAGCGGGGGAACCAGGUAAGCCGCCGUCCGGGAUCUUUCCUCCGGAACGGCUAGGGGUGAAGCCGCACAUGUCCCGGACACGGACGGCCGGACAUCUCCAGUCCGAACCCGACAGCUCACCUCGCAGGCGACGGAGAGGAAAAAA
rnacentral:sRNA from 2 species